rnacentral:rRNA from 1 species
UACGUAGGGGGCUAGCGUUGUCCGGAAUCACUGGGCGUAAAGCGCGCGCAGGCGGCGAUCUACGUCUGGGGUGAAAGCCCGGAGCUCAACUCCAGAACUGCCUUCGAUACUGGAAAGCUCGAGUCCGGGAGAGGUGAGUGGAACUGCGAGUGUAGAGGUGAAAUUCGUAGAUAUUCGCAAGAACACCAGUGGCGAAGGCGGCUCACUGGCCCGGUACUGACGCUGAGGUGCGAAAGCGUGGGGAGCAAACAGG